rnacentral:ncRNA from 1 species
GGUGGGAACGCACGACCGCAAAUCUGACUCGCCGCACGAUUGUGCGGCUCGGGAUUGCGGCCGUGU